AUUUGGUGAAUCCGGUUUCGAUCUGGCGCAAUCAAUGCGGCGUCAUCCAGGAGGGUUUCCGAUUCCAGCACGGCGGGCGCGUCCGUCCUCCGCCCCGGAUGCCGCUACCGCCCCUGCUCGCGUCGACGUGGCGUUCGUUCUGCUGGGCCUCGGCCACUGAAGGGCGGGCCAAACGUCGCCUGCGGGGUCACAUCGGCCCGCAUCUCCAGGCCCACCACGCAGUGGAGCUCUGCGCCGCCGCCGCCGCCCGCACCAAGAUCCCUUCGCCGAUAGAGCAACAGCUUGCGCUACAAGCAGCGUCAGUCGGGAUCAAGGGGCGGGCCAAACUAGGGUUCUGCGACAACCAGGUACACGCUUGUGCCAUGCCUAUCUGCCUAUCUACCUGAUAUGGGGCGUUCUUCUCCGCGGAUUGGGCGCAGGUACCAUCCUGCCAAUCUUUGCUUCAUCUGAAAUCCAUGCAUGAGGCCAGAUGCUUGAUUCUAAGGAUCUCCGCAGAAACUUGUCCCAUGCCCGGCCGGUCUUUGGGCGAUGUCAUGGAGCAGGAGAGGCCUAUUCUAACCAUUAGAGCGACACAGUUCUUCAUCACUUUCGGAAAUCUGAAGUUACAGUUGAAAAAAAUAACUAGCCCAGCCGUGAGUUAUGCAAUUCUGAGAUUGGAGAAGAAAAUUAUUAAAACUGAAAUAGAGCAAAAGAGAAGAUUACACUGUUUGCAAGGGUCACUAUCUGUCUAACUGAACUCAAAAGAAGGAAAAGCCAUGAGAUAGUACAGAGAGCAGAGGACUUGGCUCUUCAUUUCACAGUCUGAACCUCCGUUUGGUGGUAAGGUGUCUCACACUUAUUUUCUCAGACCAGAGUCGACUCCAUGGCCCUAUUAUAUAUGCGCGCACUGCAUUGACCGGCGCAUCAACUUGAAGAGCGGUUGUCGGCUCCAUAGCGUAGACGCGCGCUACCAUGAUGUUGACUCCAAAUUUUGGCACGGUCAAGAACUUAUUUAAAAUGGCCUCAAAUGGAGAAGUAAUCUACAUGAAAGAAUUCCGUAUUGUUGAUAUGAACAUCUUUGAAGUUUGGGCCAUCGCCGUCCGAUUUCACCGCUAAGGCCGAAACUAUGCUCAAAGUACUAAGAUCUUAUAUUCAGAGUACAGUUUGGCGGUUUAAGCCCCCAAGACGACCUCAAAUGGAAAAACUUUCUACACAAGUUGUCUUCGUCUUGUCGAAACGGUCGAUUUUGAUAUAAAAAUCGUCUUAAUCCGAGGUCGUAUGCAAAAGUUACAGCCAGUACAAGACGCUGCUGCACUAGAUGGCCGGACACUCCGGGGACAACCAUCCGGGUUUUUGAUUUUCUCUGUGGAUGACCGGACACUCCGGGUAUGUUCGUCCGGAUUUUGAAUUUCGCAGCUGCAGACUUCGGAAAACAGCCGAAAACCCCUUCAAGAUGGCCUCAGAUCGAAAAACGUUCAACAUGAAAGUUGUUCGCCUCGUCGAAUCGGUCAAGAUUGCUUUUGGGCUUGUUUCCAUCCGAGAUCGUUUACUCCCCCAAACAUGGCCCACAAGGUGCAGCCAGAUUUUACUAAACAGUUUUGGAAAGUUCGGACCAAACAAAUCCGAAUUAGACUAGGGUUUUGGACGUGAAUUGAAGCCUUUUUUCCUUGCACAGGAAGUCCAGCCGUCUCUUAUAUAUUUAAGGGGUGAUGGCCGAUUAAACAACACACAAUCGAACAACACACCUAUCACUUUUUAUCUUUUAU